rnacentral:sRNA from 1 species
AAUUGAGUAGUGUCCUGUCUUGUUGACAGAGUGAAUGCCUUUGGAUUUCUUGCUCAAUCAACUCAUUGUUUGUCCACAGACAAAGAGGCAGCUGAACGUCUUUCAAAAACAGUAGAUGAAGCAUGUCUGUUACUAGCAGAAUAUAACGGGCGCCUGGCAGCAGAACUGGAGGACCGUCGCCAGCUGGCUCGGAUGUUGGUGGAGUAUACCCAGAAUCAGAAAGAUGUUUUGUCGGAGAAGGAGAAAAAACUAGAGAGAUGGGGUUUCGCCAUGUUGCUGAGGCUGUUGUCAAACUCCUGGACUCAAGUGAUCCUCCCACCUCAGCCUCCCAAAGUGCUGAGAUUACAGGUGUGAACCACUGUACCUGGCCUUACGGUCUUAUUUUCACAUAUAAAGCAUCUUGUUUAAGGCUCACAAUAUCCCUAGGAGGUGUACCCUACUGGAACCCCUAUCUCCCAGAAAAGGGUAUGGAGGGGACUCAGGACUUGAGUUGCCCGAGGCACCUGACCUCAAGCCUGCCCUGAAAAACGCCCUGUGGUCCCCGAGAAGGCCCUGCGUAGUGCCUGG